rnacentral:rRNA from 1 species
UGAGGAAUAUUGGUCAAUGGGCGAGAGCCUGAACCAGCCAAGUAGCGUGCAGGAUGACGGCCCUAUGGGUUGUAAACUGCUUUUAUGUGGGGAUAAAGUGCGUGACGUGUCAUGCAUUGCAGGUACCACAUGAAUAAGGACCGGCUAAUUCCGUGCCAGCAGCCGCGGUAAUACGGAAGGUCCGGGCGUUAUCCGGAUUUAUUGGGUUUAAAGGGAGCGUAGGCUGUCUAUUAAGCGUGUUGUGAAAUUUACCGGCUCAACCGGUGGCUUGCAGCGCGAACUGGUCGACUUGAGUAUGCAGGAAGUAGGCGGAAUUCAUGGUGUAGCGGUGAAAUGCUUAGAUAUCAUGACGAACUCCGAUUGCGCAGGCAGCUUACUGUAGCAUAACUGACGCUGAUGCUCGAAAGUGCGAGUAUCAAACAGG